UAACAUUAAUAAAAUAAUGGUAUUUUUACGGAACGGGUUUGGCGGGACGGGUUUGACAGGACGUUACUUAAUAACUAUUGUAAACUAUAAAAUAAAAAUAAUUUAUAGAUAGAUACAAUUUGCAAAAUUUUAUAUAUACUAACUUUAAAAUAGAAAUUGUCCCCGCUGUGUACCGCAUGUUAAAAUCUAGUUU
rnacentral:sRNA from 1 species